CAUGUUCUGAUUUUAAUUACUGUUACACAAUAUAAAAGUUAAAAUAUUCUAGUCUUAAUUUUGAUUGGAGCUCCAAGGCAAGGGCGUGCCAACUAUCCCAGGUGGCAAAGCAGUUUUCAGAUGCCCUGUGCUGGGUUUGAAUGGAAUAUCUUUAAGCCAUGUGGAUUAUGAAAGAGUUAAAGUCCAAGAAGCUGAGAGAGAUAGGAAACUGGAAUUGAGAGAGUUUUGGGGGUGCUCUCAAUAUGCAGAACUCAUGAUGAUCUUCCAGCUGGCUGUCAUUCUCCAAGGUGUAUCUCACAUUUUUCCGAAUUCUAUUGUCUGCUGUAACUCAACUCCUUUUUCUUCCACUAAAAACUAUUGGAAUGUGGGUGAGUAUUGGAAUGAACUAUUGACUAUUUCACUAUUCCAAAUACUGAAUUCUCCAUAGUGAAUAUUGGAAUGAGUUAUUGGAAUGCAGGUGAGAAGGAAUGACUAUUCUAGGAGUGCCCUUGUAUCUCUUCUGGUUGACUUACAAAGUAAAGCCUUGUCACUUUAUCAUAGGAUAGAAACUAUUGACCUCUUUUACUUUCUGUCUUGCAGAAAUAGUUGUGGUGAAUCGGUGAAUCUCAUUGAUUUAUAAUGUUGUAUUAGUUUCUGCUGAAUAGCAAAAGUGAUUCAGUUUUGUGUAUAUAUGUGUGUGUAUAUACAUAUAUAUAUUCCUUUCUGUUAUGGUUUAUGAUAGGAUAUUGAAUAUAGUUCCCUAUACUAUAUAGUAGGGUUUCCCUGAUAAUUCAUUUGGUAAGUAAUCCACCUGCAAUUCAGGAGAUCCCAGUUCAAUUCCUAGACUGGAAGAUCUGCUGGGGAAGGGAUAGGCUACCCACUCCAGUAUUCUUGGGCUUCCCUUGUGGCUUAGCUGGUAAAGAAUCCGCCUGCAAUGUGGGAGACCUGGGUUUGAUCCCAGGGUUGGGAAGAUGCCCUGGAGAAGAAAAAGGCUACCGUUUAACUAUAAUAUUCCUUUCCAUUAUGGUUUGUUAAGGAUAUUGAAUAUAGUUCCCUGUGCUAUAUGGUAGGACCUCAUUGCUUAUCCAUUCUAUAUAUAAUAGUUUACAUUAGGUAAUCCCAAAUUCCCAAAUAGAAGCAUUUUCCCCUUGACCAGCACUUUUGGGUUUUCGAAAUGCCUUCAUGUCUAGAAAACUUAUUGAGUUUUUUUAAGCUACUGUCCAUAUUUCCUGGAUGAAGAAUCUAAGGCAGAGAAAAAGUUAGCUGACUUAUUCUAGGUCAUACAGUAAAUGAGCAGUAAAGCCAGAACCUUAAUCAAGCUAAUGGAUUUUAAAUCCAGUAUGUAUUCUAAGAUCCUACCUUGCCUCUCCUUAUUCCUUUUCACUGAAUGAUGCUUUCUUGCUUCUCACAUUUUACCACAAACCACGCUGUGCUUACUGGUGGUCUACAUUUAGGUUGUUCCUUAUAUACCUAAGCUUCAUUCCCCUUCAAAAUUCUGUUGAGUGUUUCUUUUUCCCUUUCACAGAGCUUUCAUCUUUAGUAGCUUUGCCAUUUGUAAAAAAAUGUUAGCAAAUAAACUGUCCCUACUAAGGGCUUUAGCCUGGUAAUGAUUUUCUCUCCCAGGUAAGUUUUUACUUUAAGGAGUAAUAGCAUGACUGAAAGUUUCAGGUAAUUUGAAAAUUAAUAAGAUUAUGUACCUAUUGUGGCUGUAAUGAUGGGGAGCAUGUGGUGAUUGAUCUCUAUAUAAAUUAAAAUUAAAUAAGCCAAAAUCUUAAGAGAAUUUUUUGGUUAUUAUCUGUGAUCUCCUCCUUCCUCCAUGACCCAGUCAACUUCAUAAUGAACUAUCAGGAAAGGUACUAUGUCUUCUUGUUCAGUGUUCUUUGCCUGGAAUAUAGCACAGUGCAUGGAACAUACUUGCUGAAUGGAUGAAUUUCAGCAAUAUUGCCAACAAUCCACUUGAUGAUAACCAUAGAAGGAAGAUGUAGGACAUAUAAAAACUGUUAUUACAAUAAUGCAAUUAUAAACAUGUAACUCUCAGAGGUGAGAUUAAUUAGGUGUGUUUGGUAGGACUGACUAAAUUAUGCUGCAGUAAUAGCAAUCCCUGAAUCUUGCUGGUUUAUGACAACACUCAUAGUACGUGUUGUUUGAAGGUUGACUAGGAGCUUGUCCUCACUCUGGGAUCCAAGCUGAAGGAGCAGCCACUCACCCUGUGGAACCCUGUCAGUUGUGGCAAAGGGCAAGAAAGAGCUCGAGGGUCCCACAUCAAUAUUUACAUGUACUGACCAGCAAGAGACACAUAUAAAUUUUAUUCACAGCUCAUUGGGCGGAAGUAAUCACAGAAGCCAUUGGGGGCAGAGAUGCAGUUCUACCCCGUGUCCACAAGGCGGAGGACCUGAAAUGGCUGUGAACUGCACUAAUCAUUACCAUACUGGAAAACAGUAUUCAUCUCGUGUGUAGCUCUAUCUGUAGUGUGUAUUUUCCCAUAGCAAGAAUUAAGUUUUUCUGUUUUUUGACCAUUUUCUACAGAUCGGGCAUUGUGCCAGUGAUUCACAUACAUUUCCUUCUAAUUCAUACAACAGUUAUGAGAGGGAGCAAAUAUUACUCUAUAUAGAUGAAGAAGCUGAAGUGAAGUGAGUGUUCUGCCCAUUGAGUGAGUAGUGGAGUUCAUGUUAGAGCUCAGGUCUUCCAGACUCCACAGAUGAUGCCCUUGACCGUCAUACAGUGCUGUUUUUCUAUAAU
rnacentral:lncRNA from 1 species